rnacentral:rRNA from 1 species
GAUGAACGCUGGCGGCGUGCCUAAUACAUGCAAGUCGAGCGAACGGACGAGAAGCUUGCUUCUCUGAUGUUAGCGGCGGACGGGUGAGCAACACGUGGAUAACCUACCUAUAAGACUGGGAUAACUUCGGGAAACCGGAGCUAAUACCGGAUAAUAUUUUGAACCGCAUGGUUCAAAAGUGAAAGACGGUCUUGCUGUCACUUAUAGAUGGAUCCGCGCUGCAUUAGCUAGUUGGUAAGGUAACGGCUUACCAAGGCAACGAUGCAUAGCCGACCUGAGAGGGUGAUCGGCCACACUGGAACUGAGACACGGUCCAGACUCCUACGGGAGGCAGCAGUAGGGAAUCUUCCGCAAUGGGCGAAAGCCUGACGGAGCAACGCCGCGUGAGUGAUGAAGGUCUUCGGAUCGUAAAACUCUGUUAUCAGGGAAGAACAUAUGUGUAAGUAACUGUGCACAUCUUGACGGUACCUAAUCAGAAAGCCACGGCUAACUACGUG